rnacentral:rRNA from 1 species
AACGAACGCUGGCGGCAGGCUUAACACAUGCAAGUCGAGCGGGCACUUCGGUGUCAGCGGCAGACGGGUGAGUAACGCGUGGGGAUCUGCCUAGUGGUACGGAACAACACAGGGAAACUUGUGCUAAUACCGUAUAAGUCCUUCGGGAGAAAGAUUUAUCGCCAUUAGAUGAACCCGCGUCUGAUUAGCUAGUUGGUGAGGUAAUGGCUCACCAAGGCGACGAUCAGUAGCUGGUCUGAGAGGAUGAUCAGCCACACUGGGACUGAGACACGGCCCAGACUCCUACGGGAGGCAGCAGUGGGGAAUAUUGGACAAUGGGCGCAAGCCUGAUCCAGCCAUGCCGCGUGAGUGAUGAAGGCCUUAGGGUUGUAAAGCUCUUUCGUUGGGGAAGAUAAUGACGGUACCCAAAGAAGAAGCCCCGGCUAACUUCGUGCCAGCCGCCGCGGUAAAAC